rnacentral:snRNA from 1 species
AGCGUUUACCUUUUUUUGUAAGGGCCUUGUUCUGAAGACCCUUCUAAACAAUUUUUGGCAGGCUUAGCAGGAGCUAGGCCUU